rnacentral:rRNA from 1 species
UACAGAGGUCCCAAGCGUUGUUCGGAUUUAUUGGGCGUAAAGGGUGCGUAGGCGGCGGAGUAAGUUGGGUGUGAAAUCCCGGGGCUCAACCUCGGAAUUGCAUUCAAUACUGCUUCGCUAGAGUACUGGAGAGGAGGCUGGAAUUUACGGUGUAGCAGUGAAAUGCGUAGAUAUCGUAAAGGAAGGCCGGUGGCGAAAAGCGAGCCUCUGGACAGUUACUGACGCUGAUGCACGAAGGCCAGGGGAGCAAAACGGG